rnacentral:rRNA from 1 species
UACGAAGGGGGCUAGCGUUGUUCGGAAUUACUGGGCGUAAAGCGCUCGUAGGCGGAUUGAUAAGUUAGGGGUGAAAUCCCGGGGCUCAACCUCGGAACUGCCUCUGAUACUGUUAGUCUCGAGUCCGAUAGAGGUGAGUGGAAUUCCUAGUGUAGAGGUGAAACUCGUAGAUGUUAGGAAGAACACCAGUGGCGAAGGCGGCUCACUGGAUCGGUACUGACGCUGAGGAGCGAAAGCGUGGGGAGCAAACAGG